rnacentral:lncRNA from 1 species
GCCCCUUUAUCCAGCCUGCAGCUUUCUUGACCUUUCCUUUUGUCCUCUCGCAUUCAUCCAUGCCUGGUUGAUUCUCCGUGUGCUUGUUUGUCCUGCCCACUUGUCAUUUUGCCUUCGAGAAAGAUUUUACUAGGAUCGAAACGUCAGACCCUCCAUGUUUUGAGAUUCUUGCACGAGUGACUACGAAAGAAUACCAUCUGACUGCCUGAGAGGUUCUGCUGGCUUUUCUCUUACCUGUCGCCAUUGCCUUAGUACCGUCUUCAGUUUUUGUCGCUUUUCCACUUUUCAACAGUGCGACGAGCCUGCAAGUUUCUUUGUGGAAGUCCUUACAAGUUUAUAUAGAGGUGCCCCCUCAGCUGUAGCACCCUAGUUACGCCACUGUUUAUCAGUCGCCAUCGGCAUUUGAUUCUGUACCUCGUAUAAAGAGCAUCCUAAUCUACCUCUGCUGACAAGAACUGCACCGGGCCAGCUCAACUGAAUGAUAACAUGGAGGAUUAUAAGCCCAUCAGUAUAAUAUAGUUGUUCCGAAAUGGUUCCGAAGCCCUUCAUCAUGGUUAGGCUACAUUGUAAAGUUACCGGUUGUUGCCAGGUCACGCCGAUUGUGAUUGACCACGUUGUUGACAGUCGGCCGCUGACGUCAGCCAGGGGGGACUGCUGCCAGUGUCAGGCAUUGCCGUCAAGUCCAACACAAGGCUGCUCAGAAUCUCGACAAUUUUUUGCCAAGACGUCAAUUUAGGGCCGACAUGAAUGUUAUUUCUGCAGUCAAACCCCGGCUAUGAGUGUCACCAGCGUAACACAUGCUUUGGAUGGAAGUCUUAUCUAGAGAGGUACAUAGAAAAUAUCCACGCUGAAGAGGAAUCAGACAUAAAUGAAGUUGACGAUGAUUGAGAACUUUUUGAGUUUGAUGACGAAACCUCCGAUAACUAUUGGAAGACAAUGCCACCUACCAAGAUUGGCUGACUGAAGCGAAAUAAGGAGUUGUGGGAUGAAAAAUAUGACAAGUAGGCAUGGAUGAAGGUCAAGCCAGGCAAAAGGCAAACAGAAGGACCCUCUGGGCAGUCAAGCAAAAUUUUUUCGACAACUAUAAGGAGUUUCUGUCAAGUUGCCUACAUUUUAAUUUUUAACAUUGUGGAUGAUAUCGAAGAAAAACUUAAGCUUCUGGACUUCACUAUUGUAGUAAUUCUUAAAAUUAGUAUGAUAAUUGUAAAAAAAUCAAUGACGAAAAAGGAGAAAUAAAAACACCACUUAAACCAGUACCUGAAGUCUACUGAAUUUUAUGUGUGUUAUGUGA